ensembl:lncRNA
CAAUAACCAUCAUUAUUCCUUCUGAUGUUAGAAUCAUAGAUUUCACCAGUGAGAACCCUUUCAAGCCAUCUCCUGUGUCAUUUUGAUAUGUUCUCAUCAGUCUUCAAGUGCUUUUUGGCUUUUUCGUACAAGAUAUUUCAAGCUCACUUGUAUGUUAUCUGCCCAUAUAUAGCGUCAGCUAUUUUUUCCAAUGAACCUUGGUUACUUGUAGUAGGUAACUGUAUUUAGAAACUAAUACCUUGGCAUUAGAUAUACUCAUUGCUGCUGGUGUGUCAUAUUAAUUGCUACUGGGGUGUCAUUACCUCCUUUCUGUGGACAGACCUAGCAAGGUUUGUCUUAGGAAAUCAUGAGUUCAUACUAAAACUUCUGAUUCGAAUUCAUCACAACAGGUUUCUUCAGGAUUCUCUUAACUUUCUCAGAUUCAUAUUUCUAUCUCCUUUCUUCUAUAGUGAGAACUCUGGUUCCAAACAAAAAUUCAUUUGCUCAUUUGUUCUAACCAUGCAGUAUAUAUGCACGUGGUGUGUGUGUGUGUGUGUGUGUGUGUGUGUGUGUGUGAGAGAGAGAGAGAGAGUUUUAGAAUUUACUUCUCCAGUAACAUUAUCAAUAACAAAGAUUAUAUUUAGGCUUUCUGGUCAGAAUCAAAUGAUGACGUUUGUUAAAAAAACAGAUUUCUGUGCUUGCCCCUAGCCUGCCAAAACAGAAUACUUGGGAAUAGGUCCCUUUAGUCCUCAUUUAAAAAAAUUAACACUCCAGGUGAUUUAUAAGAACUCUGAUGUUUGAGAUUUGAUGAUGUCAUGACGAGGAGCUUGAGCUUUAGAAAAGAAGGGGAUAAUCCCUUUUUCAGAGCACAUCUCAUUUCCAAGUGGCUGUUGCGCUGCUGUUUGCCCCCACUCCUUCAGUGCGACAGCCUCAGAGCUGGUGGAAAGACUGCAUGCCACUGGAUAAAUUCGUAGAUGUGGAAUUCCUGGAUCAAAUGAUACUAAGGGAGACUUCCCUGGAAGCAGACUUGUAUCCGCAGUGUACAAACUUACCCUGUAAUGCACACAAUGACCAGAUAACACAAACACACAUUUAUCCCCACAGCAUACAGACUCUUGUCACAGUACACAGACUUGCUUUCCAGUACACAGACAUAUCCAAAGGCACACUGACAAGCACCACAGCAAAAAGACUUUCCCCAGAGCACACAGACACUCCCAUUGCAUGUAUCAAUAGACUCUCCCAGAGGCACCUAUAUUCUCCUUAAUGCAGAGACUCACCUAAGGCACACUGAUGCACCCAGCAUGACACAGACUUGCCCCCCCAUAAGGACUCCACCAUGGCACACAAACAAUGCCAACAUCACAUACUGUUCCCACAUCACACAAACACUUUCUAGGAAACACAAAGCCUACAGACUUACCCCAUAGAAUACAGCUUCCCCCAUAAGACACAUAUUCUCAAGGCCAAUAGACUCACUCUACAGCACACAGACUUUCUCCGGAGCAUACAGCUUCUUCCUACAGCAAACAGACUCUUCCCAGUGCACACAGACUCCCCUGACAUCACACACUCUCACCAUAGAUCAUAGACUCAUCCUAGAGCACAGGGACUUUUGCCAAUGAAACAGACUUUCCCCGAGAACAGACUCAUGAGACAGCUUGAAGACCCACAUCAUGAUACAAAGACUCCCACAACGGGCAUACUUACCCCAUUGUGUACAGACAAGCACCACAGGCCACAGAGCCCACAGCACACAGACUCACCCAACACUACACAGACAUUUCCCAGAGCACAUAGACUCACCCCACAAGCAGACUAAACCCAUACUACAGAGACUCUCCCUAUAGCUUUCAGGCAAGCUUACCACACCACAUAGAAAUGCAACAAGACAUCUUACAGCAUAUAUCACUCCUUGAUGCACAGAAUUGUGCAACAGCACACAAACUUGUUCUACAGUGCACGAAUUCAUGUCACAAAAGACAUACUUACCACAUAAUACAAAUACUUGCUCCAGAGUACACUCAUUUGCCCUAAACUAUCUGGACCUUCCC